CCUACGGGGGGCUGCAGUGGGGAAUAUUGGACAAUGGGCGGAAGCCUGAUCCAGCAACGCCGCGUGAGGGAUGACGGCCUUCGGGUUGUAAACCUCUUUCGUCAUCGACGAAGCUCCAUGUUGAUUGGGGUGACGGUAGGUGAGGAAGAAGCACCGGCCAACUACGUGCCAGCAGCCGCGGUAAUACGUAGGGUGCGAGCGUUGUCCGGAAUUAUUGGGCGUAAAGGGCUCGUAGGCGGUUUGUCGCGUCGGGAGUGAAAACACUGGGCUUAACC
rnacentral:rRNA from 1 species